CCUUAUGUUCCACUUGCGCCUACGAUAAUGAGCUUAGCCCCGGAGCAAAAAGAACGAGCCCCAACGCUUGUUAAAAAUGUGGGUAUGGGCUCUCUGCCCCCCUGAACCUCAGCGGUAGAUAUCGCUUCUGCUCAGCAAAGUCUUCAUCCAGGGAGGCAGCCCUUGGUGCUGAGCACAGAUCCAGCUGAUUACUGGCCGGGAAGACCUUAGCCGUGCUCGGUCAUUCCAGCUAGCCCCUGAAGCGGCUGCUCUAGGCAGAUCUCAUCGUGCUGCCUGGAGCACAGUGAAGAUCAUGCUGACCAAGCAGCCUCAGGCUCUGCCUAGAAGAGACAGUGGGUCCUCACCUCUGCUCUCGGCAGCCAUGCUGAAGAUGCGACGUGCAGUUCUGCUCAGGCUCCAUCUUCACAGAGCCUCCCCGUAACUGGCUGUUGCAGCGGGGCUGCUUCCUCCCAAGCAUCCACCAUCACGAAGCCGUUGCCAUGGUGACUUACAGAGCACCUUAGCCUACUGUCCUGGCAAUGGAACUGAGGCUGCUACUUUUCCUGUGGAAAGGGGCAUGAGACAGCGUCAGGACCUCCUCCCCAGUGAGAGUACCACCCACAGUGGCCGGGCCUUCCCACAUCAAAUCAGAUAUCAAGAAAUGCCCCAGAAGCCAAUCUGAUGGAGACAAUUCCUCAACUGAGUUUCCCUCUUCCCAGGUGUAUCAAAUUGACAAAAACUAUGACACGCAAAUAAAUUCAUUGGUUCA